rnacentral:lncRNA from 1 species
GAGCUAUGUGCAAAACUAAGACUUUACCCCCAAAGAAAAUAACAUUACUUUUAGAUUCCUCUUUCUAAAAAUCCAUUUUAGAUGUGUUCUCUCUAGAUAAUUUAUGGAUGAUAUUUCUAUUUCAUAUAUAUUUUUGGGGAUGUUGGUUCCACAGUCUAUGGAGUUCCCAUCGUGGUUCAGCGCAUUAAGAACCCUACUAGUAUUCAUGAGGUUGUGGGUUCAAUCCCGGGCCUUGCUCAGUGGGUUAAGGAUCCAGUGUUGCUGUAAGCUGCCGCAUAGUUUGCAGAAGCAGCUGGACAUAGGGCAGCUCAGAUGGAUCCGGCGUGGCUGUGGCUGUGGCGUAGGCUGGCAGCUGCAGCUCUGAUUCAACUCCUUGCCUGGGAACUUCAUAUGCCACAGGUGCACCCCAAAAAAGAAAAAAUAUGAGGCCACAGAAUUCAAUCGGGCAAAACAGACAGCCUAAUGAACUUGCUUCACCUUGCAGUGGAAGUUGUACUUGGGGUAUGAAAGGAAGUACAAUUGAGAAGCAUCUAUUGCAGUAAGGGAAGGCUUUCCAGAAAAGGUGGUAACUAAGCUGAUUCCUGAGGGACAAGUGUGCAGUGUCUCCUUUUUCUCUGGGAAGGUGAUCCAAUCAGAGAAACCCUGAGUAAAGCUCCAGAGGUUUGGAGAGUAAGGUUUGCCUUGUACCUACUCACAUAUCGAGGUUCACUAACAAAAUAAGGAUAAGCUGGAGUUCCUUGGUGGCCUAGGGGAUUAAGGAUCCAGUGUUGUCACUGCUGUGGCUUGGGUCACUGCUGUGACACAGGUUCAGUCCCUGGCCUGGGAACUUCUACAUGCCAUAGGCAUGCCCAAAAGAAUAAAAAAAUAAAAAAUAAGGAUGAGUUGGGGAUCUCUACAAUACAUUGCCUUUGUGCCACAGAGGUCAUCAGUAAAACCUCAAAGAUUGAACACAAGUUGUUCCCAAGAUGUGGUUCCAGAUGGGAAAUAUUUUGAAGGCACUCAUGGGUAAGAUUUUUCUACCAAGAAUCCACUGGUGCCAUUUCUGAGACAAAGGCAGAAUAUGAUAUUAGAAUUUAGAUAACAUUCCAUUAUUCUUUAUAUAAACUGGUAGUAUUUACAGGACCUUUCUCCAUCUGUUCCUAAAUGGUAAUAUGCCAAUAGAAGCUUUUUGUCUUUCUUCCCCCUUUCACUAUUCAGUCACUGGUUAAUAAUUCAUGAUGAAUCCCUUCUUUCCAGCAUCCCUUAAUCUCAUCAUUCUCCACCACUCUCCCCCCUUUCUAUCCCACCCUGCUCUACCCUAUCAAAUGUAUAUACCUAAUCCAUCCUUAGACCAGAUCGAUAACUUUCCUGACAUCCCAGACUAAAGUAUUAACCAUUCCUUUACCUUUGUUGUAUUUAUUUAUUUAUACCCCACAUGACUUCAGGUUACUCCAUUCCUACACAUUCUGAAGCUAAAGCCAUUUUACAUGGAAAAGGUUUUAAACAAAUCACUGUACGCACUCUUCGGAUACACUUUGAGGCUUCAUCACCUCCUGGAUGAAGGUCAUUCAAAACCUCUCUGACUGUACUCCAUCCUGUAACCUCCACUCUGUGUGAAUUCAAUUUAGCAACCUACACUCCCUUUUCCUAACACUAAGCUUGUUCUGCACUGUUAGGACAUCCUCCUCCAUCCUGGAACAAUUCAAGGACACCCUCCUCCACCAGCCGGCCACGCACAGAUUGUAAGUGACCAGGAGUGAAGUCCAAGAGAUUUUCAUUGUAAUGCAGUGCUGCCACCACCACUGGGAACCAGGAGGCGGGUCACUUGAUGUUUCAGCGUUUGAAUUCUCUCACUAGUUACACACAAAAAACAGAGUAGUAAUGGACUGCUAAGACCUCUUUGAAAGCCAUGUCCCUUUCCAUCCUUCCGUGUACAUAACAGCAACACUGUUUUAGUACAAAUAAUAUGGAACCAAGAAAAGAAUUUUAAGUAAGGAGUGAAAAAAAUCCAUCCAUUUGCCAGGUAACAGAAUGUUAUCAGUUUAGAGCUCAUUCCGUUGGUUUAAACCUGAUACUAAUGAGAUGAAGGUCAUGGGUUCCAUUCCCUAAUGGCCAGCUAGCUUUGAUCUGUUUCAUAGCCACAAGCUGCUUUCCUAACCCCAGUUUCCCAUGUUGUAAUGUGUGCUAUUGGUCACAAGUCUUAAGGUGAAAUUGAAUCUUUCCAUAGAAAUUUUCUAAAAUGAACAAUACUACAUAUUAUCUUACUUUUAAGUGUGAGUCAAGUUAUUGAAUUGUUUAGUCUACACCAUUGUGUGUUCCAUGUUUUUCCAAGUAUAAAAAUGACAUUGAUUUGGCCAAGAUUCUUAUUAUUGAUAUUUAUUUACAAGGGCUGAGUUUGAUUUUCUUAUUAGUGUUCUAGAUACUACUAAAAUGUUCAUAUAGUUCUCAAAUUUGAAUUCUGGUUAUCUUUCUUCUGUCAUAGCUGUAUACAUUCUUAGCACAGGGCUUAGGAUAGAGAAAUGUAAUUGAAAUGUUGAGGAUGAAAGAAAAAGGAUAUAUUAGUCAUCAGGUAAAGAGAGGAUUAUAAUGUAUAUCACAUUCUCAACAUUUUAAGGAAAUUAAUAUAUAAAGAACUUAUGGAUAGAUGUGAUAUGUGUAAUUUUGUUUAGAUGCCACGGUAUCUAAGAUAGCUAAGAUAACUUCUAUCAUAAGAUAGAAAUAUGACAGACAUAUUCAAAAGAGUGGAAUAAUAUGGGACUAUAGAUGGACUUCUAAAUUAUAUGGAAAAGAUAGUAGUUUAUAAUUUUCCAUAACACACUCACUUAAAGCCUAAGUCCAAAAGCGUUAUAACUAAAGAGUAUUAGGGGGACAAGCCAGACUUCAGAACAUGUCUGUGAAAAUAGCCCCUGAUACACUUAGAGCCUGGUUCUAGAAUGUUCUUUCCACUUGACCUGGUCUCCAGGCCCUAGCUGAUUGGUUCAGGAGUGGGCAUUCAAUCCAAGGACUGAAUCAAGUAGGGGGAGCCAAUGAGUCAGCAGAGAGUGCUUCCCCAUAUGAAGAGAAGUGACGAAAUGGACCAGUCUAUUCCCAUGCUUGGCCAUGUGAGCUGGAAAUACUGGAGAUAAAAUUACAAAACUAAAUGAUUCACGGAGAGAAAAAGGUACAGUGCAGAUACAUUAGCUGUUAGGCAUAGCAAAUAUGCAUAAGUAGAAACCAUAAGGUAGAGCCGAGCGGAAGUUAAGCCAGCCAGAUGAAGAUGUCAGAGCUGCCCUGGGCUCUGCAUGACCUUCUAUCCCCAAAUGUCAUUCUAGUCUUGGACAGGCUUGGCUGCUCUGGGUUACCCUGAAGAUCACCCGCAUAGCUAGAAUCUCUGUCUUCAGUAGUUUCACACAUUGAUUCCCCAUCCCUUAUGGAAAAUUGAGUUGUUUUUUGAAUUGAGUAGAUAAACAUAGCAAUGGGUAUGACUUGGUUUUUCGAGCCUUACAGAUUUAAAGGGGACCAAGUCAAAAGUCAGUUCAGUCAGCCCAGUACCCAGUCACUUCGUUCCCAUUAGGGGAACACACAGGCCAGACAGUGAGGCUCAAAUCCCAAGUCCACGACUUGCUAAUGUGUGAUCUUGGGCAAGUUGCUAAACCUCUCUUACCUCAGAUCCUACAUCUGUAAAAUGGGGAUAUUUACAGUGCCUAGCUCGGGAGGUUGUGAUGAGGGCUUAAUGGAUGAAUGUACAACUAAACCUUGGCAUGUGGUUAGUGAUCAAUAAAUGUUAGCUUGUGAGUCAGGAUAUUUGCCUGAGUUGUUCCCUGCCCUAUUCCUAGCACCUACAUUUGCACCUGAACACAGUUAAUUGUGUGAUAAAUAUUUAUUGAAUGACUUAAGGAAAUAUUAUUAUAUGAAUUAUUACAUCCACUCUUUUACUUCUCCCUUCCCAGAGGUUUCAGGUCAUAGGUGUGCCCAUGGACAGAUCCUCCUAAAAGUUCCUAAAAGCAUGUAAACAGAGAAUGCUAAUGGAAUUCAUAGGCCCUAUUUCAAAGGAGCCUGCUGUUCAGAAUAUAUUAUCUUUAUUUAGCAUUUAUAUUACACUUUUACAUUUUCAAAGCCCUUUUCCGUUUUUUAACUAAAUAUUUGUUAUAACAUUCCUAUCUUAUCUUUCAUAAGGGAGGUAACUGAGGCAUGGUUCCAAUCAUUAAUACCUAUAUCGGGAAUAAAAUUCAUCACAGAAAUACAGUAAGUGUAACUUACAUAAAUACUGUAAGUAUAUAAAGAAAAAAAAAUCUGGAACAUUACUUUGUUCGUGUAGAAUGCCGAAUGGAAUGUCAGCCUUCGAGAAGAAGACAAUCUGUUACUUUAAAUUAUACUAGCUAUGCCUUUCACUUGGUUCUAUUUCAGAAACUAGAAUCAAUAGAAAAAACUGAGGUUUCUCAAUGGAUUUGAAGACUUUAAGGAAUAAAAUUUUGAAAUUCAAUAGUGAAACUUUUCACCACAUCUCAGUAAUUUCCCAAUCUUUUUCUAUGAAAACUUCUUCAAGAAAGCAGUUCGUGCCUCAUGUCAGUGUACUGGGGGUUUCUGUAUGUAUGCCCUUAGAAUUUGUAGACAGUGAAGUAUGAAAGGGUAAAAAUCAGUAUAUUGUUGAUGAAAUCAGUCAAGAGUAAUCUAGUUCCGGGAGAUUUGGAAAAUGCCCAAAUCCAAUCCGGUGUCCCUACUGAGAUUCAAGAAAGUUUGAAAAUGUAUUGGACUGAAAAGAGAUACUGAGUUUUGGUUACCAGUCUAGCUGAUUGACUUCACUGGAGAUUAAAACAAUCCUAACGCAGAGGAGCCCUCGAUAAAGCUGGAUAAUCCGUUUCUUUGACUCUAGCUAACUUCCUCUUCCAAGCCUAACCAGCUGUUUACAAAUCUCAAGGCCAGACUCCAUGCCAGGUGUCUUCUAUUCCAAGGUGAGCUCCUUCAGCUCUUCCCUUCAGUUCCAAAUCUCUUUCCCUCUUCCAUCUCCAGGGGAAAAUAUCCCAAUUUCUUCCCCAGGCUGUCACUCUCACUGUGUUCUUGAUCACACUCUCUCUGUCUUCUUCCAUAAAUUUUCAUUAUUCUCCCAAUGUUUACGGUUCGUUAUUCGCCACUGGCUUUUUUCACAGCCAAAAAAAUAUGCUCACAUCUUCCCAGUCCUAAAAAAGAAAACUUUUUGUAAGUUCUACAUCCCUUCACAUAUUGUACCAUAAUUUCUCCUUUCUUUUGCUGCCCAAACCCCUUGAACAAGCAGUUUACACUCAACUUCUCAGUUUCCCCAUGUCCGAUUCAUUCUUCAGUCCACAGACAUUACUGAACAGGCUUUCUUCUUUGUAAAGUCUCCAGUGACUUCCCAAAAUGUCAAAUCUAGUGGCCACAGUCCACUUCCUAUUUAUGAUUCUUGAAGCAUUUGACAGUGUUGACUAAUCCCUUCUUUGAAAUUGUCUUCUCACGUAACCUCUUUGUCAAUUCACUUUUCUGGUUGUUCUUCCGUCCCUUGGACAAAAUCCCUCUUGCUCUUCCCACCUGAAAAAUGAGUCUUCUGGAAUAAAGUUCUGGUCAUCCCCUCUGUUUUUACACUCUCUCAUGCUCGUGUUGUCUCUCAGAAUCACUGACUUAUCUUUUUCUAAAGAACUCCUGGAUGAUACUUUUGUUCAUGAGCAUUCUAUAGAGCUUCAGACCUACAUGUCCAAAUUUCUUGAGCCAUUCCAUGUGGAUCUUCUAUGUGUCUGAAGACAAUGGCAUAAUGCGGUGGUUUAAAACAAACAAACAGGAGUUCCCGUCGUGGCGCAGUGGUUAACAAACCCGACUAGGAACCAUGAGGUUGUGGGUUCGGUCCCUGCCCUUGCUCAGUGGGUUAACGAUCCGGCGUUGCUGUGAGCUGUGGUGUAGGUUGCAGACGAGGCUCGGAUCCCGCGUUGCUGUGGCUCUGGUGUAGGCCAGUGGCUACAGCUCUGAUUUGACCCCUAGCCUGGGAACCUCCAUAUGCCGCGGGAGCGGCCCAAAGAAAUAGCAAAAAGACAAAAACAAACAAACAAACAAAAAAAGCUUUGGAGUUCCCAUUGUGGUGCAGCAGAAACAAACCUGACUGGUAACCAUGAGGAUACAGGUUCAAUCCCUGGCCUUGCUCAGCAGGUUAAGGGUUCAGUGUUGCUAUGAGCUGUAGUGUAGGUCACAGACGUGGGUCAGAUCCUGUGUGGCUGUGGCUGUGGCUGUUGCUGGCAGCUGAAGCUCUGAUUCGACCCCUAGCCUGGGAACCUACAUAUGCCACGUGUGUGGCCCUAAUAAACAAAACAAAAAUAAAACAAAACAAAACAACAAAAAAAAAACCAACAACCUUUGGGGUUAGACCUCUGUUGGAAUCCCACUUCCAUUACUUACCUAGAUAUUAGUAACUUAAUCUAACUAAACUGAGUUUCCCCCCAUAUUCAGUAAUAUCUCCUGCACUGGCCAUUAUCAAGAUUAAAGGGUGCGGGGAGUUCCCGUCGUGGCUCAGUAGUUAACAAAUCUGACUAGGAACCAUGAGGUUGUGGGUUCGAUCCCUGGCCUCACUCAGUGGAUUAAGGAUCUGGCGUUGCUGUGAGCUGUGAUGUAGGUUGUAGACAUGGCUUGGAUCCCGAGUUGCUGUGGCUCUGGUGUAGGUCGGCAGCAACAGCUCUGAUUCAACCCCUAGCCUGGGAACCUCCAUAUGCUGAGGGAGCAGCCCUAGAAAAGGCAAAAACAAGAU